rnacentral:lncRNA from 1 species
UGAUGACCUGAUGUUUUUAUACCAAAUCUUUGACGAUGUUGUUUCUUCUAUUGAUUUUUAAUAAAACAUGGAUAAGAGGAAACAGAGAAAGAAUGCAUGCAUUCGUCGCCUUACCUUAGGAAGGGAGUCAAAAUAUUUAAGGGACAAUGUUGUAGCACCAAUUCACAGUCUAUUUCUAGUCCUAUGCACCUGCUAUAUCGUUGUAUAUUUUGAAAAUUAUCCCAAUCUUCUUUACGGUUGGAUGUAAGGCAGACUACAGCUUCAUAUACAGAAUGAUUAUCUGUAACAUAGAGAAGAAAGAGUCUUCCAGCAAUUUUUUGUUGUAGCCGGUUGACACUUUACCUUGUCAUGAUCUAAGGUGUAACCAUUAGAAGCAAGUCUUGACAGGCCAGUUCUUUGUUCCCAAGCAGAAUAACAUUUGUUAAGCACAACUUAACAUCCACGACAACAUCAAUCACCCCCUCCGUACAGUCUAGACCUGUCAUAUAUGCAGACACCGAAAUAGAUAGAUAAAGCUUCCCCAAGGACAUAUAGUUCUGAUUAGCUCAUACUUGAGAGAACUGCAAGUAUAUUACAAAAGUUUGCUCUCUUGAUUAGGCAGCCUAAUCAAGACAUACAUGUAUAUCUGGCAGUUUGAGAUUUGUCAAACAGGACGAUUAAUGUCGUUAGAAAUGUUAUGCCAAAUAAGUUAGCAAACCACCCUAAAAGAGAUAGACAAUUUGUUAUAUUAUCCAGCAGAACAUAAUAUAAAUGGAUGCGGUUUUCAACCUUUACGAGUUGUUUCUAAAGAGGUUUACCAUGAGCUAGCACUUUGAGACAAACCUGAAUCAUUAGAGCUACUAUGAAAUUUUAACCGUGUGUAGCAACAUGAUACAUAUUGUUUCAUGAUGUCCAAUACACAUGGGAUACUAUAGAAUAACAAAUUGUUCCACUUCAUCAAUAUGUGCAUCAAACAUGACGUCCCUAUGUGGGCUCUCACCCUCUUUCUCAGUUUCUUGCCUUGUCUAUCCUUUCCACAUGCAUGAAAUUUCACCCGGAAACCAAAUCAUAGCGAGUAUCAUAUUUUUAAAUUUAUGAACCUAAAGCGAGCAUCUUAUUGCGUGCUAAUGAGAUUAUCCGCAUCGACAUGCAAUGCAUCUCAAAUGGAGUAUCAUACCAAGUCUAAAGCCAAGGUUAUUACACCGAGCGUCUAAAAAAAGGUUAACUACAGAGAGAAAUGCAAAUUUCUUAUAUGACUGGGAACAUCAACAUCUCAUUCAUCUUCAGUCUAACAGUUAAAUUUAAAUCACCAGGAAUUCCUCCGGAUGCCAUUUGAACAGAGUGAAAAUACUAUAUAUGUAUCACGCAAUUUCACACUGAAAUAUCCUUUCCUGAACCUGAUAGCUAUAUAGAAGGUAAUUUCCCUUUCUAGCAGCUGGUUGUACAACUGUACUGAAACCAUUUGAAUUGGUUUCUGACCUUCUGUGUAAGUUUAACAUGUUAUUUGAAUAACAAAAAAUAGAAAGAGCCUAUUGUUUAGGGUUCUAAAGAAGGUUGAACGACAACAAUGAAACACAAACCUAGCUAUUUCAUGAGCACGGUUAGUUUAUAUAGGUUAAGCCACACAUACUGAUAUAUAUGUUUACAAGUAGUGGAAACAGGCAAUAGUGUACAAAGUUGUUGUCUACUUCGAGCUACUUGCUACCAACUAUUGAUUGAUGAAUACAUGUUUUUUCUUACCGUGCACAAGAUGGUUGAGGUGUUUCAUCAUAUUUUCUUGCAAGGUAAAAGAUGCUCCCGGUCCCAGGCCUGUAAUCUGGGAAGAGGCUGAUGUAGUCAAGAACCUCUUCGACAUGAACAACCUGGCUGGACAAGAACACAUAUACAUACACGUCAAUGUGCAGAACAUCCGAUUAAAUCGCACAAAAGAACAACCAAAAUUACACAAACAUCACACACCAUGUUUGGAAACACAUUGCACAGGACCUGAGUGACUUGUUUGAAGCAAAAAUUUGGGCUCAAACGUUGAAGCCAAACAUAUUGCAAUUCAAGAAUGGGAAAUUGUGAACAAGAUAGAGGAGCAUCAAUCCAGUUCUUCCUACGGAGGUGAACGGGCUAAGAGAUCGGGAAAAGGCGAGGUGUCUGAAGAAAUUAAGGUGAGUAUUAGUUACAGACAUCAACUGCAAUUUCUUCACACAAGUGUGAUCAGAACGCAUGUGGCAGGGGAUGGGGAUAGGCAAUGUCGCCUCCGGGACAGCCACCGGGCGACGCUCAUCCGCACCUACCGGGCGCGAAUCCUGUGCACGGGGCUCGUCCGCCUAAGGUAACGGCCUGGCAUCUCCAUCGGGGCUCACCUAUGGCCUGUAGAUCUCAAUACCGAUCUAGCAGCGAGGUGAGGAGGGGCUGCGGCGGCGUGACGUCUUCCUGCGUGCAGAGGAUGAAGGGAUCGGGUGGUGGCGGGCAAUCGAGAUAUGCGCCACCGUGGUCCGUGGCUUCGAGCUCCGGCGGGGAGUUCUGGUGGUGCGACAACGGGGCGAGUUUGGGCUGCGCAACGGCGGGGCGGAGUCCGAAGGGGCGGGCUUCGACGACGCGAUGACUGGGCAGGUUCCGGCGGCGCUACGA